GAGAGGUUUUAUUCUUGCUUUAAAUUUUAUUUUAACAAUAUGUUAUAUGUGAGUUUUGUUUUGCUUAAUGUUMUUUCUUGCAGUAAUUUGCAUUGAUCAAUCAAGUUAUUUUGGAAUUAGUGAUUGUUUUAUUUUUGACUAAUAUUGUGCCAGCAGUCGCGGUUAUACUAUAGAGGAAAAUAAAAUUUAUUGUUUUGGUUAGUUANUUUUAUUUUUGUUCANAGCUUGAUUAUUUUUAGGUGAAAUUUAAAUUAUUUAUUUUGGACUUUUNNANGAKGCUSCGAAAUYCWUUUUUAGACUAGGAUUAGAUMCCCUAUUAUUUUGAAUGUAAAAGUUURAKAAUCUGAGUAGURUUAGUUAUGUUCUUUAAACUCAAAGGAUUUGACGRUACUUUAUUCUUUUUAGAGGAACCUGCCCUAUAAUUGAUAAUUCACGAUUUGAUUUACUUUAUUUAUUUUGUUUGUAUACCUCCGUUAUCAGAGAGUCGUCUUAGAGAUUAAAUUUUCUUUAAUUCUUAUUUGGUUUCAUUUCAGGUCUAGGUGCAGCUUAUAGUAAUGUAGAGGUGGGUUACAAUAUAAUUUAUUUAUAUUAUGGAUUCCAUUGUUGAUACUUGGAUGAAGGUUGAUUUAAAAGUAAUUUUAUUUGAUUAUUUAUUUUGAAUGUAGUUCUAGAGUGUGUACAUAUCGCCCGUCGCUCUCAUUAUUAUUAUUAAGAUGAGAUAAGUCGUAACAUAGUAGGUGUACUGGAAAGUGUACCUAGAAGGAGUUGGUUAAAAU
rnacentral:ncRNA from 1 species